ACAGCAGUAGCCACGGGAAUACGUAGGUGGCAAGCGUUGUCCGGAAUUAUUGGGCAUAAAGGGCUCGCAGGCGGUUUCUUAAGUCUGAUGUGAAAGCCCCCGGCUCAACCGGGGAGGGUCAUUGGAAACUGGGAAACUUGAGUGCAGAAGAGGAGAGUGGAAUUCCACGUGUAGCGGUGAAAUGCGUAGAGAUGUGGAGGAACACCAGUGGCGAAGGCGACUCUCUGGUCUGUAACUGACGCUGAGGAGCGAAAGCGUGGGGAGCGAACAGGAUUAGAUACCCCAGUAGUCCCUGUCUCUUAUAA
rnacentral:rRNA from 1 species